rnacentral:rRNA from 1 species
UGGGGAAUAUUGGACAAUGGGCGAAAGCCUGAUCCAGCCAUGCCGCGUGUGUGAAGAAGGUCUUCGGAUUGUAAAGCACUUUAAGUUGGGAGGAAGGGCAUUAACCUAAUACGUUAGUGUUUUGACGUUACCGACAGAAUAAGCACCGGCUAACUCUGUGCCAGCAGCCGCGGUAAUACAGAGGGUGCAAGCGUUAAUCGGAAUUACUGGGCGUAAAGCGCGCGUAGGUGGUUUGUUAAGUUGGAUGUGAAAUCCCCGGGCUCAACCUGGGAACUGCAUUCAAAACUGACUGACUAGAGUAUGGUAGAGGGUGGUGGAAUUUCCUGUGUAGCGGUGAAAUGCGUAGAUAUAGGAAGGAACACCAGUGGCGAAGGCGAACACCUGGACUAAUACUGACACUGAGGUGCGAAAGCGUGGGGAGCAAACA